rnacentral:rRNA from 1 species
UACAGAGGGUGCAAGCGUUAAUCGGAAUUACUGGGCGUAAAGGGUGCGUAGGCGGUUGCGUAAGAUGGGCGUGAAAUCCCUGGGCUUAACCUGGGAACUGCGUUCAAGACUGCGCGGCUAGAGUAUGGGAGAGGAAAGCGGAAUUUCCGGUGUAGCGGUGAAAUGCGUAGAUAUCGGAAGGAACACCAGUGGCGAAGGCGGCUUUCUGGCCCAAUACUGACGCUGAGGCACGAAAGCGUGGGGAGCAAAC